UACGUAGGGUGCAAGCGUUAAUCGGAAUUACUGGGCGUAAAGCGUGCGCAGGCGGUUCGCUAAGACAGAUGUGAAAUCCCCGGGCUUAACCUGGGAACUGCAUUUGUGACUGGCGGGCUAGAGUAUGGCAGAGGGGGGUAGAAUUCCACGUGUAGCAGUGAAAUGCGUAGAGAUGUGGAGGAAUACCGAUGGCGAAGGCAGCCCCCUGGGCCCAAUACUGACGCUCAU
rnacentral:rRNA from 1 species